UGGGGAAUUUUGGACAAUGGGCGAAAGCCUGAUCCAGCAAUGCCGCGUGUGUGAAGAAGGCCUUCGGGUUGUAAAGCACUUUUGUCCGGAAAGAAAUCCUUGGCUCUAAUACAGUCGGGGGAUGACGGUACCGGAAGAAUAAGCACCGGCUAACUACGUGCCAGCAGCCGCGGUAAUACGUAGGGUGCAAGCGUUAAUCGGAAUUACUGGGCGUAAAGCGUGCGCAGGCGGUUUGCUAAGACCGAUGUGAAAUCCCCGGGCUCAACCUGGGAACUGCAUUGGUGACUGGCAGGCUAGAGUAUGGCAGAGGGGGGUAGAAUUCCACGUGUAGCAGUGAAAUGCGUAGAGAUGUGGAGGAAUACCGAUGGCGAAAGGCAGCCCCCUGGGCCAAAUACUGACGCUCAUGCACGAAAAGCGUGGGGAGCAAACAGGAUUAGAUACCCCGGUAGUCCACGCCCUAAAACGAUGUCAACUAGUUGUUGGGGAAUUCAUUUCCUUAGUAACGUAGCUAACGCGUGAAGUUGACCGCCUGGGGAGUACGGUCGCAAGAUU
rnacentral:rRNA from 1 species